UAACUCUCUUUGUCAAACCUAAUUACUUUUCACGAUUACAACAUAUAAUAUUCCCCUUCCUUCUGUUACAUGGAGCCCUAUCUCUACUUUAAAUUCCAGCCCACACCCAAAGCCUUUUCAGCUAACUCCUUUUGUCAAACUUGAAUGCUUUUCACGGUUACAACUUAUGCCUUUCCUUUUCAGGUUUAGUUCCUUCCCCUACCCCACCUGUUUCAGCUUCUGUUCUAUCAUUUCACGUUUUGUUUCAUCCACCCCAUAUCACGAUUUCAGCUUCUGUUCUACUAUUUCACUCACGGUUUCAUCUUCCUGUUCUACGGUUUCAGCUUCUAUUUUCGCUUCUAACGGCAGCCUCUCUGUCUUCCUUCAUCUCCUCACAUCCAUAUAAAUACUGACAUAAGCCGGGUGAUUCAGUUGAGGGGCUAUCAUGGUUGUUGAAGCAUCAAAGCCGAUUGCAGUGGUUGAUGCGUAUGGGUUUUUUAAGUACAAAAAGUAGAAUGUUUGUGAGUUUCAUUUAGUUUCCAACUUAUAAUAUUUAAAUUUGGUGUUUCACAUUCAUGAGGUGAAGUGUUGUUUGAUUGGCCCGUCCUUAUGAAACAUGCGUGAAACCGUGAUUUGAAUAGGAAAAUAUGACAAAAUCCUAUUUGUUAUUGGUGCAAUUGUUGUGAGAAGUCCAAAUUAACUAGAUAGGUAAUUUGCAGUGAUGAUUGUAUGGUCUAGAAGUUCUAUAAUCUUAGUGAUGAUUGGGUUUUGAUGCAUUGCUAAUUUGAUUUUCCACUAAAGAAUAGUAAAAAGUUCUGGAUUAAUCUCCCA